rnacentral:rRNA from 1 species
AACGAACGCUGGCGGCAUGCCUAACACAUGCAAGUCGAACGAGACCUUCGGGUCUUGUGGCGCACGGGUGCGUAACGCGUGGGAACCUGCCCUUAGGUUCGGAAUAACUCCCCGAAAGGGGUGCUAAUACCGGAUAAUGUAUUCGGAACAAAGAUUUAUCGCCUUUGGAUGGGCCCGCGUUGGAUUAGCUAGUUGGUAGGGUAAAAGCCUACCAAGGCGACGAUCCAUAGCUGGUCUGAGAGGAUGAUCAGCCACACUGGGACUGAGACACGGCCCAGACUCCUACGGGAGGCAGCAGUGGGGAAUAUUGGACAAUGGGCGAAAGCAUGAUCCAGCAAGGCCGGGUGAGUGAUGAAGGCCUUAGAGUUGUAAAGCUCUUUUACCCGGGAUGAUAAUGACAGUACCGGGAGAAUAAGCACCGGCUAACUCCGUG